rnacentral:rRNA from 1 species
AUUGAACGCUGGCGGCAUGCCUUACACAUGCAAGUCGAACGGCAGCGGGGGAGAAGCUUGCUUUUCCUGCCGGCGAGUGGCGAACGGGUGAGUAAUACAUCGGAACGUGCCCUGUAGUGUGGGAUAACUAGUCGAAAGAUUAGCUAAUACCGCAUACGACCUGAGGGUGAAAGUGGGGGACCGCACGGCCUCAUGCUAUAGGAGCGGCCGAUGUCUGAUUAGCUAGUUGGUUGGGAAAAGGCAUACCAAGGGGACGGUCAGUAGCUGGUCUGAGAUGACGAUCAGCCACACUGGGACGGGGACACGGCCCAGACUCCUACGGGAGGCAGCAGUGGAGAAUUUUGGACAAUGGGCGAAAGCCUGAUCCAGCAAUGCCGCGUGUGUGAAGAAGGCCUUCGGGUUGUAAAGCACUUUUGUCCGGAAAGAAAUGGCUCUGGUUAAUACCUGGGGUCGAUGACGGUACCGGAAGAAUAAGGACCGGCUAACUACGUGCCAGCCGCCGCCGUAA